GAGUUUGAUCCUGGCUCAGGACGAACGCUGGCGGCGUGCUUAACACAUGCAAGUCGAACGGUAAGGCCCUUCGGGGUACACGAGUGGCGAACGGGUGAGUAACACGUGGGUAAUCUGCCCUGCACAUCGGGAUAAGCCUGGGAAACUGGGUCUAAUACCGAAUAGGACCACAGAACACAUGUCCUGUGGUGGAAAGCUUUUGCGGUGUGGGAUGGGCCCGCGGCCUAUCAGCUUGUUGGUGGGGUGAUGGCCCACCAAGGCGACGACGGGUAGCCGGCCUGAGAGGGUGUCCGGCCACACUGGGACUGAGAUACGGCCCAGACUCCUACGGGAGGCAGCAGAAGGG
rnacentral:rRNA from 1 species